rfam:Dipodomys ordii contig_49256, whole genome shotgun sequence.
GGUGGCUCAGUGGUAGAGUGCUUGCCUUGCAUGCAGGAGGCCCUGGGUUUGAUUCCUCAGAACCA